AAAGCUAUAAACAUCACUCUUCUCAUUGAAAUAACCUCCGGCCAAGGACUCGGGUGCAAUGAGUCCUACUGUCCCUGCCACAAGAUCCUUUACAUGGGACUUACCUUCAGGAAUAGACACACAGAGGGCAAAAUCGGACAGUUUAGCUACAUAGUUCUCAUCCAGUAAUAUAUUUGAGGCUUUGAUGUUUCUAUGAACAAUAGGCCUUGGAAAUGCAGUGUGAAUAUACACCACCACAUUAGCAAUAUCUGCUGCAAUCUUUAACCUCAAAUUCCAUGGUACAGGCUGAAAGAAGGCAUCAUUACGAUCUAGAAUACGAUCAGCAAGAGUUUUAUCCUCUGCAGAUUCGAAAACAAUAAUGGGACAAGGGGUUUCUAAGCAGCUACCCAACAACUUGAGAGCAUUUUUAUGUUUACUCAUCCCAGAGGCGUAUACAAUUUCAUUGAUGGCAAAUUGUUCCAUCUGGUUUUCAACGAACUUCUUAACAAUUACUGGGCGGUCUUGAAGAAAACCCUUGUACAAUUCGAAGUAGCCAUCCAGCUUUAGGACUUGCUUUUUAUCAUAGUUGUUUGUAGCUUUCUCGAGCUCUUCUGCCGAGAAGUUUCGGAUAGGAUUACACCUGCCAUUGCAGAAGGCAACCAAUUUCUCUAAUAGCAUACUUCCAUUUAUCAAGAAUGCUGUCUCAUCUGUCACUUCCC
rnacentral:misc_RNA from 1 species